AACAGUUCUGUAGAAGUAUUCUUUGUGUCAUUUAGAUAAAAUUUUUUUAAUCAAAAAUGACAUCUCUACAUUACAGAGAAUAAAAGCUUGGUUGUUAUCUCUAUUCUCCAUAAAGGUUUGGAAGGUUAUAAGCACCAUCCUUAAGUAUUUAUGAAAUACUAAGGAUCAAUGGCUCGUUUAUAAAGAAUCUGACUUAAAACUUGUGAAAUAUUAAUUCCAGUUUCUAGUC
rnacentral:lncRNA from 1 species